GCAUCGCUAGUUCAGUGGUAAAAUGCUCGCCUGCCAUGCGGGCGGCCCGGGUUCGACUUUUGCACUUACAAAUGUCCCAGAGCUGUGUU